rnacentral:rRNA from 1 species
UGCCAGCCGCCGCGGUAAUACAAAGAGUGCACACGUUGCUCGGAAUUACUGGGCGUAAAGCGUACGUAGGCGGAUUCGCAAGUCGGGUGUGAAAUCCCUGGGCUCAACCCAGGAACUGCACUCGAAACUUCAAGUCUAGAGUAAUGGAGAGGAAAGUGGAAUUCCCGGUGUAGAGGUGAAAUUCGCAAAUCUCGGGAGGAACAUCAGAGGCGAAGGCGGCUUUCUGGACAUUUACUGACGCUGAGACGCGAAAGCGUGGGGAGCAAACAGGAUUAGAUA